rnacentral:rRNA from 1 species
CCUACGGGAGACAGCAGUGAGGAAUAUUGGUCAAUGGCCGGAAGGCUGAACCAGCCAUGCCGCGUGAAGGUCAGUGCCCUAUGGGCGUUAAACUUCUUUUGUGCGGGAGCAAUAAUGGUCACGUGUGGCCAGACGAGAGUACCGUACGAAUAAGCAUCGGCUAACUACGUGCCAGCAGGCGCGGUUAUACGGGGGAUGCAAGCGUUAUCCGGAUUUUUUGGGUUUAAAGGGUGCGUAGGCUGUGAGGUAAGUCAGAGGUGAAAUGCCCCCGCUCAACGGGGUGAAGUGCCAUGGAUACUGCCUGGCUGGAAUGCGGAUGCGGUGGGAGGAAUGUGUGGUGUAGCGGUGAAAUGCAUAGAUAUCACACAGAACACCGAUUGCGAAGGCAUCUCACGAAUCCGCGAUUGACGCUGAUGCACGAAAGCGUGGGUAUCAAACAGGAUUAGAUACCCGUGUAGUC